GCCCGGAUGGUGGAAUCGGUAGACACCCAAGAUUUAAAAUCUUGUGCAUUCUGUGCGUGCGAGUUCAAGUCUCGCUCCGGGCACCA
rnacentral:tRNA from 4 species